GGCAUUCAUGACCCCGCCUGGUGCUUGGGCCAGCCACACACUGAGGGAACAGGAGUGGCCCACAAGUAACCCAAGCAGUCUUGGUCAUGGAAAGCCACCUCUAGAACCUGGGUAGGACAUCUUCCCAGAGUGCCCCGUUUUGGCUGCUGUGGGCUGUGUGCAGCCUGCUUCCCCUACCGGCGCCGUGGUGAAUCUGUUAAGAACAGCGGUUGUUAGUUGGGACUUCUCUGUGCCCACCGGAUGGCCGCCCACCUGUCCUCUCCAGGGUCACCAUCUGUCUGGCUUUACCUUUGCAGAAGAAAGUUGACCCUACACUUCCAGUGGCCACCCGGCCCAGUGGCCCCAUGCAGAGGGUGCUGGCCAAGCGGCUGCAGAGGCAGCGGCAGCAGACACAGGCACGGCUGGAGGAUGCACAGCGCUGGAACUCUGAGCUGAGGCAGCAAGAAGAACACAGCAGGCAGCCAGAGGAGCCUCCACAGCCCCAGGUGGAGGAGCAGCUGCCCGGGUCACCCACCUGGGCAUUGCCAGCUCCCACUACCAGACCAGGGAUGGCCAGCCCCCGGCGCCAGUCAGGGCGGCGGCCAGAGAGCAGCGAUGACCGUCAUGUCAUGUAUAAACACGCUUCCAUCUACCCCACGGAGGAGGAGCUCCAGGCUAUCCAGACAGCCGUGUCCCACACAGAGCGAGCCCUCAGACUGGUGUCGGACACGCUGGCCGAGGAGAGCAGC
rnacentral:lncRNA from 1 species